AAAACAACAAAAAAAG
rnacentral:sRNA from 1 species